GGGUCAGUAGGUUGGUCGUGCCACCGGUACGUACUGGUCUCACUGAUUCCUCCUUCCUGAAGAACCGUAAUGCCAUUAAUUUGGUGUUGCGGGGAAACAGGACUGCUACUUUGAAAAAAUUAGAGUGUUUAAAGCAAGCUAACGCUUGUAUACAUUAGCAUGGAAUAAUGAAAUAGGACGAUCGAUCCUAUUUUGUUGGUUUCUAGGAUUGACGUA
rnacentral:rRNA from 1 species